GCCUGGAUAGCUCAGUUGGUUAGAGCAUGGUGCUGAUAACACCAAAGUUACAGGUUUGAUCCCUGUACAAGACA
rnacentral:tRNA from 1 species